rnacentral:rRNA from 1 species
UACGUAGGGUGCAAGCGUUGUCCAGAAUUAUUGGGCGUAAAGAGCUCGUAGGCGGUUUGUCACGUCGGAUGUGAAAUCCCGGGGCUUAACCUCGGGUCUGCAUUCGAUACGGGCUGACUAGAGUUCGGUAGGGGAGACUGGAAUUCCUGGUGUAGCGGUGAAAUGCGCAGAUAUCAGGAGGAACACCGGUGGCGAAGGCGGGUCUCUGGGCCGAUACUGACGCUGAGGAGCGAAAGCGUGGGGAGCAAACAGG